UAAUGAAGGAAGCAUGGUAAUGUGCACGGAGAUUAAGUAACAUUUAGGUCGUCAUGUCUGCUCCCUCUGAUUUUCUCUGAUUUGGGGGCCUGGAUUAGACCUACACUUGUUUUUUUAUUUAUAAUUUCUUACAAAAUUGAAUAUAUUAUAGGAACCUGAUGUAUAAAAGCAGGGAUCGAUUGCCUUUGUGAAUCGGUCUCCCGUAAACGUCAGGAAUAUAGAGUGGGCAUCGUUAUUGGGUGAACCUCUUGAUUUUUUCAUGACGGAUAUGGUUCAGUAAACGAAGCUAUAUUU
rnacentral:lncRNA from 1 species